rnacentral:rRNA from 1 species
AUUGAACGCUGGCGGCAGGCCUAACACAUGCAAGUCGAGCGGAUGAAGGGAGCUUGCUCCUGGAUUCAGCGGCGGACGGGCGAGUAAUGCCUAGGAAUCUGCCUGGCAGUGGGGGAUAACGUCCGGAAACGGGCGCUAAUACCGCAUACGUCCUGAGGGAGAAAGUGGGGGAUCUUCGGACCUCACGCUACCAGAUGAGCCUAGGUCGGAUUAGCUAGUUGGUUGGGUAAAGGCCUACCAAGGCGACGAUCCGUAACUGGUCUGAGAGGAUGAUCAGUCACACUGGAACUGAGACACGGUCCAGACUCCUACGGGAGGCAGCAGUGGGGAAUAUUGGACAAUGGGCGAAAGCCUGAUCCAGCCAUGCCGCGUGUGUGAAGAAGGUCUUCGGAUUGUAAAGCACUUUAAGUUGGGAGGAAGGGCAGUAAGUUAAUACCUUGCUGUUUUGACGUUACCAACAGAAUAAGCACCGGCUAACUUCGUG